rnacentral:rRNA from 1 species
GAUGAACGCUGGCGGCGUGCCUAAUACAUGCAAGUCGAGCGAACAGACGAGGAGCUUGCUCCUCUGACGUUAGCGGCGGACGGGUGAGUAACACGUGGAUAACCUACCUAUAAGACUGGGAUAACUUCGGGAAACCGGAGCUAAUACCGGAUAAUAUAUUGAACCGCAUGGUUCAAUAGUGAAAGACGGUUUUGCUGUCACUUAUAGAUGGAUCCGCGCCGCAUUAGCUAGUUGGUAAGGUAACGGCUUACCAAGGCAACGAUGCGUAGCCGACCUGAGAGGGUGAUCGGCCACACUGGAACUGAGACACGGUCCAGACGCCUACGGGAGGCAGCAGUAGGGAAUCUGCCGCAAUGGGCGAAAGCCUGACGGAGCAACGCCGCGUGAGUGAUGAAGGUCUUCGGAUCGUAAAACUCUGUUAUUAGGGAAGAACAAAUGUGUAAGUAACUAUGCACGUAUUGACGGUACCUAAUCAGAAAGCCACGGCUAACUACGUG